AACGAACGCUGGCGGCAGGCUUAACACAUGCAAGUCGAACGCAUCCUUCGGGGUGAGUGGCAGACGGGUGAGUAACGCGUGGGAACGUGCCCUUCAGUUCGGGAUAACCCAGGGGAACUUGGGCUAAUACCGGAUACGUGCGAGAGCAGAAAGAUUUAUCGCUGAAGGAUCGGCCCGCGUCUGAUCAGCUAGUUGGUGGGGUAAUGGCCCACCAAGGCGACGAUCAGUAGCUGGUCUGAGAGGAUGAUCAGCCACAUUGGGACGGAGACACGGCCAAAACUCCUACGGGAGGAAGCAGUGGGGAAUAUUGGACAAUGGGGGCAAGCCUGAACCAGCCAUGCAGCGUGAGUGAUGAAGGCCUUAGGGUUGUAAAGCUCUUUCGUCCGGGACGAUAAUGACGGUACCGGAAGAAGAAGCCCCGGCUAACUUCGUGCCAGCCGCCGCCGUAA
rnacentral:rRNA from 1 species